AACACAAGCCAGAUUUCAGACUACAUUUCCACUUACAACAUUAAACUCAAUUAUAUUUUAGUGUGUGCUGAUUUUAUGUAAAACAUACUGGAAAAAUCACUUUGCCAAGUACCCCUCCUACCCCCUUUCCCUUCUUCAGCAUUGAAUGUUUAGGAUGGAAAGGUAAUGACAUUUGAUAGGUCAUACUCAAUCGAAUUUAUUGUGCAACUGUGUACUUUGUACUAUGCUUGCAUUUAAACAGCAUGUCAAAGAACAUAAAAGUCUACUUACAGCAGCCAUGGAAUUGAGCUGAUCAAUGUAGAAUUCAGGCCAACUUGUAGCUCCCUUGUUUUCUUCUUGUUCCUAAAAAGCGGGGGAAAGUGACAUAUCACCCAGCAUACACACAUAGCACCUAGAAACAAUCCGACUUCCAGAGCACUUGGACAAUGACCCAUUCAAGCCUUUAGAAGACAUGAAGAUACACCAAGGAGCUGGUUUAAAAGAGAAACUGAUUGGAAAGAAGUGUAUGAAGAAGAAGGAAAGAAAACUGUGUACCUCUUUAAAGGAGCCUGCUAGAGAAUGAGGUGCUUCACACUACCCACUUUCUUUAAAGAUUCACAUGACUGACCUCCUAUUGAGGCUUGCUUUUAUUAUUGAGGUUUAGUGCUGACAGUGAGAGUGCAGAUGUAAAGGUGAAUGCGGGCUGUUUCACUGAAAAGGAAAAGUCCAUGGCAAACCAAACCAACCCAUUCACAUGCUCUCCUCUUCUCCUUCCCUGGCUCCCCACCAAUGCCAGAAUAGAAAACUGGGACUCACCAC